rnacentral:ncRNA from 1 species
CCCGCUGAAUUUAAACAUAUUAGUCAGCAGAGGAAAAGAAACUAACAAGGAUUCCCUCAGUAACUGUGAGUGAAGAGGAAAGAGCCCAGAGCAGAAUCCCCGUCCCGUGAUGGGGUGUGGGACAUGUGGUGCACAGAAGCCCCCCUCCCACGGCGGUGCUCUCAGGGGACCCAAGUCCUGAUCGAGGCUGCAGCCCGCAGAUGGUGUGCGGCCAGUAGCAACUUCCUGGCGUGCUGGGCCUGGGGCUUCUCGGAGUCAGGUUGCUUGGGAAUGCAGCCCAAAGCGGGUGGUAAACUCCAUCUAAGGCUAAGUACCGGCACAAGACCAAUGGUCCAAGCACAAGUAUGGUGAGG